rnacentral:rRNA from 1 species
AGUAAUGUAUGGGGAGCUGCCUGAUGGAGGGGGAUAACUACUGGAAACGGUAGCUAAUACCGCAUAACGUCGCAAGACCAAAGAGGGGGACCUUAGGGCCUCUUGCCAUCGGAUGUGCCCAGAUGGGAUUAGCUAGUAGGUGGGGUAAUGGCUCACCUAGGCGACGAUCCCUAGCUGGUCUGAGAGGAUGACCAGCCACACUGGAACUGAGACACGGUCCAG